CCAGCCGGCCGGACGGCCGCUCCGGCAUGUGCCGAAAGGCCGCCGGGGAGGAAAGUCCGGGCUCCAUGGAAACACGGUGCCGGGUAACGCCCGGCGGGGGCAACCCCAGGGAAAGUGCCACAGAAAGCAAACCGCCGGCGCAUCGUCGCCGGUAAGGGUGAAAGGGUGGGGUAAGAGCCCACCGCGGGACUGGCAACAGGACCGGCAUGGUAAACCCCACCGGGAGCAAGACCGAAUAGGGACGGCGCGGAGGCCUUGUGAGGGCUCCAGCCGGUUUUCAGGCCAGCCGUCCGGGUAGGUCGCGCGAGGCGUCCGGCAACGGACGUCCCAGAUGAAUGGCCGUCACGUGCCCGGAUCCUGUCCGGGUGCCUUACAGAACCCGGCUUACAGGCCGGCUGGCGAU
rnacentral:RNase_P_RNA from 1 species